AACGAACGCUGGCGGCAGGCCUAAACAUGCAAGUCGAGCGGGCAUAGCAAUAUGUCAGCGGCGGACGGGUGAAUAACACGUGGGAACAUGCCCUUUGGUACGGAACAACUCAGGGAAACUUGAGCUAAUACCGUAUGUGCCGGUAACGGAAAGAUUUAUCGCCAAAGGAUUGGCCCGCGUCCGAUUAGCUAGUUGGUGAGGUAACGGCUCACCAAGGCGACGAUCGGUAGCUGGUUUGAGAGAACGAUCAGCCACACUGGGACUGAGACACGG
rnacentral:rRNA from 1 species